GACGAACCGUGCGAACGUUAUUCGGAAUCACUGGGCUUAAAGCGCGUGUAGGCGGGAGGGCACGUCCGUCGCUGAAAUCCCCCGGCUCAACCGGGGAACGGGCGCGGAUACGACCUUCCUUGAGGGGCGUAGGGGGACCUGGAACUUCCGGUGGAGCGGUGAAAUGCGUUGAGAUCGGAAGGAACGCCCGUGGCGAAGACGGGUGACUGGGCUGGUUCUGACACUGAGGCACGAAAGCGUGGGGAGCGAACGGG
rnacentral:rRNA from 1 species